rnacentral:rRNA from 1 species
AGCGAACGCUGGCGGCAGGCUUAACACAUGCAAGUCGAGCGGGCACCUUCGGGUGUCAGCGGCAGACGGGUGAGUAACACGUGGGAACGUACCCUUGGUUCGGAACAACUCUGGGAAACUGGAGCUAAUACCGGAUACGCCCUUAUGGGGAAAGGUUUACCGCCGAAGGAUCGGCCCGCGUCUGAUUAGCUAGUUGGUGAGGUAACGGCUCACCAAGGCGACGACUCAGUAGCUGGUCUGAGAGGAUGAUCAGCCACACUGGGACGUGAGACACGGCCCACGACUCCUACGGGAGGCAGCAGUGGGGAAGUAUUGGACAAUGGGCGGCAAGCCUGAUCCAGCCAUGCCGCGUGAGUGAUGAAGGCC